GAUGAAGAACGUAGCGAAAUGCGAUACUUGGUGUGAAUUGCAGAAUCCCGUGAACCAUCGAGUCUUUGAACGCAAGUUGCGCCCGAAGCCAUUAGGCCGAGGGCACGCCUGCCUGGGCGUCACACGUCGUUGCCCCCCCAUCUACUCCUUCGGGAUUGCGAGGGGCGGAUGAUGGCCUCCCGUGCGCCUCGUCGCGCGGUUGGCAUAAAUGCCAAGUCCUCGGCGACGCACGCCACGACAAUCGGUGGUUGCGAAACCUCGGUUGCCCGUCGUGUGCGGUCGUCGCGCAUCGAGGGCUCGAAAAAAUUGCCGGGCUCCGGCUCGGCUUUCAACGCGACCCCAGGUCAGGCGGGGUUACCCGCUGAAUUUAAGCAUAUCAAUAAGCGGAGA
rnacentral:misc_RNA from 1 species